CCUACGGGGGGCAGCAGUGGGGAAUAUUGCACAAUGGGGGAAACCCUGAUGCAGCGACGCCACGUGAGUGAAGAAGUAUUUCGGUACGUAAAGCUCUAUCAGCAGGGAAGAAAAUGACGGUACCUGACUAAGAAGCCCCGGCUAACUACGUGCCAGCAGCCGCGGUAAUACGUAGGGGGCAAGCGUUAUCCGGAUUUACUGGGUGUAAAGGGAGCGUAGACGGCAGCGCAAGUCUGGAGUGAAAUCCCAUGGCUUAACCAUGGAACUGCUUUGGAAAAUGUGCAGCUAGAGUGCAGGAGAGGUAAGCGGAAUUCCUAGUGUAGCGGUGAAAUGCGUAGAUAUUAGGAGGAACACCAGUGGCGAAGGCGGCUUACUGGACUGUAACUGACGUUGAGGCUCGAAAGCGUGGGGAGCAAACAGGAUUAGAUACCCUUGUAGUC
rnacentral:rRNA from 1 species